AUUGAACGCUGGCGGCAUGCUUUACACAUGCAAGUCGGACGGCAGCACAGAGAAGCUUGCUUCUUGGGUGGCGAGUGGCGAACGAGUGAGUAAUAUAUCGGAACGUACCGAGUAAUGGGGGAUAACUAAUCGAAAGAUUAGCUAAUACCGCAUAUUCUCUGAGGAGGAAAGCAGGGGACCUUCGGGCCUUGCGUUAUUCGAGCGGCCGAUAUCUGAUUAGCUAGUUGGUGGAGUAAAGGCCUACCAAGGCAACGAUCAGUAGCGGGUCUGAGAGGAUGAUCCGCCACACUGGGACUGAGACACGGCCCAGACUCCUACGGGAGGCAGCAGUGGGGAAUUUUGGACAAUUGGGCGCAGCCUUGAUCCAGCCUGCCGCGUGUCUAGACCCCCGGUUGUAAAGGAUUUUGUCAGGGAAGAAAAGGAUAGGGUUAAUACCCCUGUCUGAUGACGGUACCUGAAGA
rnacentral:rRNA from 1 species